GAUGAAGAACGCAGCGAAAUGCGAUAAGUAAUGUGAAUUGCAGAAUUCAGUGAAUCAUCGAAUCUUUGAACGCACCUUGCACCCUUUGGACUGCUCCAAAGGGUAUGCUCGUUUGAGUGUCAUUGUACUCUCACACUCUCUGAUCCUUUGGAUUUGGGGAGAAGUGGACUUGGGUGCUUGCUGCUUCCUUGUGGCUCACCUGAAAUGCAUCAGUGCAUCUCUCGAUUGGACAUAGUACGGCGUGAUAAGUGUCUUCGCCGGCACCUCAUAUGAGGGUGGCCGAUCGGGAGCUCUGUGCUUUCAAACCGUCUUCGGACAACGCUGACAACUUGACCUCAAAUCGAGUAGGACUACCCGCUGAACUUAAGCAUAUCAAUAAGCGGAGGA
rnacentral:misc_RNA from 1 species